CGCUGGCGGCGUGCCUAAUACAUGCAAGUCGAACGGUCUUUCUAUGGAAGCUUGCUUCCACUGAGAGGAUAGUGGCGAACGGGUGAGUAACACGUGGGUAACCUGCCCAUAAGAGGGGGGAUAACAUCCGGAAACGGGUGCUAAUACCGCAUAGUUUUCUUGAUCGCAUGAUCGGGAAAGGAAAGACGGCCUUUGUGCUGUCGCUUAUGGAUGGACCCGCGGCGUAUUAGUUAGUUGGUGAGGUAACGGCUCACCAAGACGAUGAUACGUAGCCGACCUGAGAGGGUGAUCGGCCACAUUGGGACUGAAACACGGCCCAAACUCCUACGGGAGGCAGCAGUAGGGAAUCUUCCGCAAUGGACGAAAGUCUGACGGAGCAACGCCGCGUGAGUGAAGAAAGGUUUUCGGAUCGUAAAACUCUGUUGUCAGAGAAGAACAAGUUGGAGAGUAACUGCUCCAGCCUUGACGGUAUCUGACCAGAAAGCCACGGCUAACUACGUGCCAGCAGCGGC
rnacentral:rRNA from 1 species